rnacentral:rRNA from 1 species
UGGCUCAAGAACGAACGCUGGCGGCAUGCCUAANACAUGCAAGUCGAACGAGACCUUCGGGUCUAGUGGCGCACGGGUGCGUAACGCGUGGGAACCUGCCUUUAGGUUCGGAAUAACUCCAGAGAAAUUUGAGCUAAUACCGGAUAAUGUCUUCGGACCAAAGAUUUAUCGCCUUUAGAUGGGCCCGCGUAAGAUUAGCUAGUUGGUGGGGUAAAGGCCUACCAAGGCGACGAUCUUUAGCUGGUCUGAGAGGAUGAUCAGCCACACUGGGACUGAGACACGGCCCAGACUCCUACGGGAGGCAGCAGUGGGGAAUAUUGGACAAUGGGCGAAAGCCUGAUCCAGCAAUGCCGCGUGAGUGAUGAAGGCCUUAGGGUUGUAAAGCUCUUUUACCCGAGAUGAUAAUGACAGUAUCGGGAGAAUAAGCUCCGGCUAACUCCGUG